GUUUGUGGCCAUACCACCCUAAAUGCGCCCGACCUUGUCUGAUCUCAGAAGCUAAGCAGCAUCGGGCCUGGUUAGUACUUGGAUGGGAGAAAAGGAGAAAGACCUGCAGCCCGGCUU
ensembl:rRNA 5S_rRNA 5S ribosomal RNA